GUUUCCAGGCAGUGGGGUAAACGAGCCAAAGAAUUCAAAGCCACAGUCUCUCCCAUUCCUACCCACCAGAUUAUAACUGCAGCCAGAAGAGAGAUGCAGAUGAAAUGGGAGAGCAAGAGAAUGCAGUUACUGUGCUGAGAGGUAUGGUCCAAAGAAACACGUUAAUUUUGCUAGGGCUUGGGCCAGCAGAAGGGGCCCAGAGUGGCAGAGAGGGAAGGAGAUGAAGGAAAAAGAGGGGAUUAUCAAACCCAUUGCCUAACACACAUCGCCUGGUGCUGCUGGUUACUUGCCUCAAGGCCACCCACACAGGCUUUGCACAGCCUCUAAAAUUUUGAUCUGCCAAGUUUCACACAGAUCUGGUUAAUUCCUGUUCAAGAAGCAAGUCUUCUGACUCAGUCAUAUCCUAAAAUUCUUCCUUAUGAAGGUUUCACUCUAUUGAGGGCCAGAAAUGCAGAUCCAUUUGCUGAUGUGAUUUGACUAAUCCCACUAUAAUGAGGAAGUGGAACAGCUGAGAUGAAAGCCUGAGCUCUCACUGUGCAAAGUACUUCAAAGGAAACUGCUUUGAGCUCAUUCCAGCUAAAAUAAGCCUUUGACGCAUCUUGCAGGGCCUUGAUUCCACUGCUGUCUGACACUUGGAGCAGCAAGAAGGAAAGCAACAUCUUCAAGCUUAGCCAGCUGGUCGUUAUCAGAGACAGCCAAAACCUUCAUGCAAUCUGCAGAGGAAGACUUGCACCCCUAUCCUAGGCCACAAGGAAAAUCUUUUCUCUGAAUUCAUGACCUCUUCUGAACUUGUAACCAUCAGCAAAAUUCAGAGUGAGGUUUACACUGCAGAGAAAUGGGAAUACCUACAUUGAAUCUAUGCUGGAAAGGAAAGUUUUUCUGCAAACACAGUUAUGGUUGUAAAUCUCAGCUCCACAGGCCAGGAUUCCUUCCUGAAGAUAGUCCAGUACUGCUUGCCCAAACAAGCAGUCUUUUGCAUCACAGUUUGAUAUAAUUUCCCCCAUCUGCUUGGAGAAGGAAGAUGUUUGUACGUUUUUUUGUUUGUUUUUGUUUUUGUUUUUAUCUAGCAAUAUUCCUGGGUUCCUUGAAAUGCUUGAAGAAGCCUCAUGUUUCCGUAAAACACUGGCCAUUGUCCUUUGCCUUUCGUCUUAAUAUUGCUGCAAUACAGUUUGUUUCUUUGAA